GAUGAACGCUAGCGGCAGGCUUAAUACAUGCAAGUCAAGGGGUAGCAAUACAACCGGCGCACGGGUGAGUAACACGUACACAACAUACCAUAUACUGAGGUAUAGCUUCGGGAAACUGAAGGUAAUCCCUCAUAGUAUUGUGAAAGGGCAUCUUCUUACAAUUAAAGUUUCGACGGUAUAUGAUUGGUGUGCGUUUGAUUAGCUAGUUGGUAGGGUAACGGCCUACCAAGGCAACGAUCAAUAGCUGGCGUGAGAGCGCGACCAGCCACACUGGAACUGAGACACGGUCCAGACUCCUACGGGAGGCAGCAGUAGGGAAUAUUGGACAAUGGGCGAAAGCCUGAUCCAGCCAUGCCGCGUGAUAGAUGAAGGCCCUCUGGGUUGUAAAUAUCUUUUAUCUGGGAAGAAACACUUCUAUUCUUAGAAGCUUGACGGUACCAGAGGAAUAAGCACCGGCUAACUCCGUGCCAGCAGCCGCGGUAAAGU
rnacentral:rRNA from 1 species